rnacentral:rRNA from 1 species
AGAUUGAACGCUAGCGGGGAUGGCUUUACGACAUGCAAGUCGAACGGCAGCGCGGACUUCGGUCUGGCGGCGAGUGGCGAACGGGUGAGUAAUAUAUCGGAACGUGCCCAGUAGCGGGGGAUAACUACGCGAAAGCGUGGCUAAUACCGCAUACGCCCUACGGGGGAAAGGGGGGGAUCGCAAGACCUCUCACUAUUGGAGCGGCCGAUAUCAGAUUAGCUAGUUGGUGAGGUAAAGGCUCACCAAGGCAACGAUCCUUAGCUGGUCCGAGAGGAU